rnacentral:lncRNA from 1 species
GGGACACAGCUAAUUCAACCUAGCUUCCUUUCCACUUAAAACCUGAUGUGGGAACUCCAAUACUGAGUUUGUUUUAUGCCUGCUACGUUUGGUUACUGGGUGUGUGAUAUCUAACCAUAGAACCAGAGUUGGAAGGGUGGAUUGCAAUUUAUUCCAUGACUGACUGGGAUUCAAUCAAACAUGCACUAUGGAAAACCUCCACUACAAUGAAACCCAACAUAAUUCCUGCCCUUGAAUAUUGUUUUUUUUAUUCUACAGUUUCACUUACCUAUUGGGACAAACGGCGACUCCUUUGCUUUCCUCAUCAAUUUUGAUUCAUUCUCAUCAUCAAAUGAUGAAAAAUUGUUGUUGGAGGACAUGGUAACUGGGAGGAAAGAGGGGCAGACAUGAGAGAAUACUGGCUUGAUGUACCAAUAACAGUCCAAUUUAUAUUAAUCUGUCAUACGGACUUGCUAAAGUAAUGUAUAUAGUUUUUCCUUCAAGACCAUUAAAAAUGCAGUAAUUUAAUCAUUUAUAUUCCAUAUACAUUGCUUAUAACACAACAUGUCCUUACACAACAUACUAGCUACGUGACACAUAGCAGGAAAACGCCUUGAAUUUAUCUGUUCCAGUUUACUAAUCAACUACAGUACAGACUCACUAGACGGAUGGGGCCCCCAGUUCGAGCUUCUGCCCGGUGACUCGCAUGUUAAACUAACAGAUGAUGUUUGACAAUCAUUAGUCACUGCUUUGUUUUCAUAACAAGUUAUUUGUCGUCGUGACCUUAGAUUGUCACCUAAAGUUAAUAGCUACUAGCUAACAUUGGUCGUUACAAUACCUUCAAAAGGACAGAAUCAGGGUUUUAUCUGGCAAUAAAGGAUGGUUCACAACAUCAUCUCUCAGUAUUGACAGUACACAUUACACAGCCCUUCGAGUGAGUUUUAACGUUAGUAGGUUAAUAACUUACAUUCGUCCUCUGUCGAACGAUCCGGUUAAAUGCUGAAGACGCUCUGUUCGGCUACCUGUUGCUGUCGAUUCCAACCUUCGAAUUCAAGUCAAUUUAUCGUAUCCGUAAUACGCAAUAUUCCUAUAUUCUUCUUCGGUGAGGUUUAAAGGCAAUUGGCAUCCAAUAAAUGUUGCAUUACCGCCACCUACCCAGACUGGAGUAUAACUUCCUUAUACUUCGCUUGAAAAAGUAAAUAAAUAAAACAAAUACCCUACCAUCUAACACUACACUCACACACAAUUUUUUUGAAAUAAUAAUAUAUAUACACAAUACUCGAGCAUUUAAAUCUAUUUAGUCCUACUUCAGGCCAACAGCUUGGAAGGAUGGGAUACAACCACUUACCACACCCUGUAACUCUGACAUCAAGUCUCGCACACCCAAGUACCUGUCUGCAGCUGCCACCACAACCUCUAUUUUCUGCUAUUUACAUUCCAUCCCUGCAGUACAGUUGAUAACCAUUGCUAUAAUGCCAAAAAUCCAAUCUUACUAAAACAUAUCUUAUACAUAUAUCUUAGAUCUUACUGAAACUCCCCUAUCUUAGGCCUGCACCCCAACAGCUGCAGCAUUUUGGUUGUACAGCAUGCCCACACUUCCCAUACUCCCCUCCACACCUAUUUUUUAGCAUUUAUAACAUCUUAAAGGCUUCGGUACAUAAGCCCUCACAUAAUAACUCAUAUAACACUCACAGGCACUCCUGUUAUCACCCCUUUAAUCCACUACUUCCCUGCUUGAUCAGUCCAGCUGCUCAACACCACCUUACUCUUCCCUAUUUGCUUCACUCAGAGCUUUUCCCCCCUGUGCCAUGUCCUUACUGAACACCAACAAGUUCCCAUCUCUUGACACUUUAGCACUGACAACUUCCCCAAUCAACUCUUAUUACAGCCGUCAACCUUAUCGGACUCAUCGCCCCAACUCCCCCUUCCUCCCUAAACUUCAGAAAUACUUUAUGCUCCUCCUCAACUCGAUGCUGCCCUCGCGUUUUAUCUUGCCUUUCCCCGGCACAUUCUACCCCCGAACUGCCGCUAGCGUUGGAAACUAUGUUGCUCUCAUCAAACUUUAUCUUCUGCCUCCUCUCUGCCCCCACAGACCUCUCGCUCCCCUUUAAACCCCUACUCCCUUUCUCUCCCACUUUGUUUUUCCCUUUCUUACACCCUCCUUUAUUUGUACCACUAUGCUCCAUACUUGCUUUACUUUCUUCUCCAUCCCUACCUCCUACCAUAUCUUACACAGUCACAGCACAGCCGAACCACCGCCACACCGAGUAAAAUUUGAUUUGUUUAUCAUCGAUUGUUCGCUAGCCACAGCUUCCCAAACAGUGGUCACUGGUCCACGAAAACAACACUUCCAUCAGCCCACUCGAAAAUGUGAUUACAAAUCUGACGAUUCAGCUCCUACCACUUCCGGUCAUCCUUCGACGUAGCUUCUUCGAUAAGGUUUAACGAUGGUUGGCAUCCAAUACAUGUUGCAUUACCGCCACCUACUAGGCUGGAGUACAACUCCCUUAUACUUUGCUUGAAAAAAUAAUAAAAAAAACCCUACCACUAUUUAAAUAUAUUUAGUCCUACCUCAGGCCAUCAACCUGAAAGGAUGGGACACCACCACUUAACACACCCUGUAACUCUUCUGAUGUCUCGCACCCAAAUACCUCUGCAGCUGCCACCAAAACCAACAUUUUCUUCGACUUACGUUCUAUCCCUGCAGUACAGUUGCUAUAAAUGCUAAAAAUCCAAUCUUACUGAAACAUACAGUACCAGUCAAAAGUUUGGACACACCCACUCAAUCAAGGGUUUUUCUUUAUUUUUUCUAUUUGCUACAUUGUAGAAUAAUAGUGACGACAUCAAAACUAUGAAAUAACGCACAUGGAAUCAUGUAGUAACCAAAAAAGUGUUAAUCAAAUCAAAAUAUAUGUUAUAGUUGAGAUUCUUCAAAGUAGCCACCCUAUGCCUUGAUUACAGCGUUGCACAGUUUUGGCAUUCUCUCAACCAGCUUCACCUGGAAUGAUUUUCCAACAGUCUUGAAGGAAUUCCCACAUAUGCUGAGCACUUGUGGGUUGCUUUUCCUUCACUCUGCGGUCCAACUCAUCCCAAACCAUCUCAAUUGGGUUGAGGUCGGGUGAUUGUGGAAGCCAGGUCAUCUGAUUCAGCACUCCAUCACUCUCCUUCUUGGUCAAAUAGCCUUUACACAUCCUGGAGGUGUGUUGGGUCAUUAUCCUGUUGAAAAACAAAUGAAAGUCCCACUAAGCGCAAACCAGAUUGGAUGGCGUAUCGCUGCAGAAUGCUGUGGUAGCCAUGCUGGUUAAGUGUGCCUUGAAUUCUGAAUUGGGGCGGCAGGGUAGCCUAGUGGUUAGAGCAUUGGACUAGUAACCGAAAAUACUUAUUUCCCUCAUUAAAAUGCAAAUCAAUUUAUAACAUUUUUGACAUGAGUUUUUCUGGAUUUUUCUGUUGUUAUUCUGUCUCUCACUGUUCAAAUAAACCUACCAUUAAAAUUAUAGACUGAUCAUUUCUUUGUCAGUGGGCAAAUGUACAAAAUCAGCAGGGGAUCAAAUACUUUUUUCCCUCACUGUAUCUAGUGUGAUGGCAGGAAUCUGUGAGUGGGAAAUAUUGGAGGAGUCGACAGUAGGGAUUAGUUUCAGGAGCUGAGUGAGCAGGUGAUGGCUCGGAUGGAUAUUGGAUAGUAUGAAUAACUGGGUGAGAACAGCAUUAAUGGGGGCAGCUACUGAGGCUAUACCUAAGAGUUCAGGGACAAGGAGGAAGCAGUCCCAUGUUGGACGGAGGAGUGUGGGGAAAUGGUGAGGAGUAGGAACAGGGCAUUUAGAGUACUGAAAAGGAUGCCUAACUUCCAGUACGUCUGAUUCAGUAUAAGCAGGCCCAGGCCCUGGUGAGAAGGACCGACUCUUUUCUCUGUAUAUAUCAAUGAUGUCGCUGUUGCUGCUGGUGAUUCUCUGAUCCACCUCUACGCAGACGACACCAUUCUGUAUACAUCUGGCACUUCUUUGGACACUGUGCUAAAAAAAACUCCAAACGCGCUUCAAUGCCAUACAACACUCCUUCCGAGGCCUCCAACUGCUUUUAAAUGCAAGUAAAACUAAGUGCAUGCUCUUCAACCGAUUGCUGCCUACACCCUCCCGCCCGACUAACAUCACUACUCUGGGCGGUUCUGACUUAGAAUAUGUGGACAACUACAAAUACCUAGGUGUCUGGUUAGACUGUAAACUCUCCUUCCAAACUCACAUUAAGCAUCUCCAAUCCAAAAUUAAAUCUAGAAUCGGCUUCCUAUUUCAUAACAAAGCAUCUUUCACUCAUGCUGCCAAACUAACCAUCGUAAAACUGACUAUCCUACCGAUCCUUGACUUCGGCGAUGUCAUUUACAAAUAUCCUCCAACACUCUACUCAGCAAAUUGGAUGCAGUCUAUCACAGUGCCAUCCAUUUUGUUACUAAAGCCCCAUAUACUACCCACCACUGCGACCUGUUUGCUCUCGUUGGCUGGCCCUCAGUACAUAUUCGUCGCCAAACCCACUGGCUCCAGGUCAUCUAUAAGUCUAUGCUAGGUAAUGCCCCACCUUAUCUCAGCUCACUGGUCACCAUAGCAACACCCACCCGUAGCAUGCGCUCCAGCAGCUAUAUUUCACUGGUCAUCCCCAAAGCCAACACUUCCUUUGGUCGCCUUUCCUUCCAGUUCUCUGCUGCCAAUGACUGGAACGAAUUGCAAAAAUCACUGAAGCUGGAGUCAUAUCUCCCUCUAACUUUAAGCAUCAGCUGUCAGAGCAGCUUACCGAUCACUGUACCUGUACAUAGCCAAUCUGUAAAUAGCACACCCGACUUCCUCAUCCCGAUAUUAUUACUUACCCUCUUGCACCCCAGUAUCUCUACGUGCACAUCAUCAUCUGCACAUAUCAGGGUGUCUACUUGUGUUGGGGGGGCACCUUAAUGGCCUUGUGCUCAGACAGGGUCUCAUUCACUAGGACCUGCUGGGUCCUGUUGGUCAGAAAUGAGUGAUACCACCUGAUGGUUUGACUGACAUCUGUCUGCGCUUACUGAGGAGGAUGUGUGGCUGCAAGAUGUUAAAUGCUGAACUAAAAUCCACAAAUAGUAGUACAGCAUAGGCCUUGGUGUUAUCCAGAUGUUGCAGGAUGAGAUGCACUAUGCUGGGGAUUGCUUCAUCAGUGCCACGUUUGUAUUUGGACUGAUAGGGGUCCAACAGUGUGUUUAGUCUGAAUGAAGCUUACACACCAUGAUCUUUUCAAGACACUUCAAUACACUACAAUGGAGGUCAGUGCAACAGGUCUAUAGUCUUUCUUUUCUUUGGGAGAAGGCUUUUGGGGAAGAGGGGUGAUGAUUGCCUUCUUCCAUCCAGGUGGAACCUAGUGGGAAUGUAGAGACCCAUCGGGCCUGUUGCCUGUUUGCUUAAAGACUUUUGUGGCCUCUCUAGGGUUAAAUUCUAACUUGGGGUCAUAGCCAUCAAUAACAAUGGUGAUGAGCAUGUUAACACACUUGACAGAGAAGUAAUGUCAGUCAAACUUUAUGUAGAGGUCAUUAAGUUAAUUUGCCAUUUUCUUUUUGUCUGUUUGUGUGCAGUGGUUUCCUGGUGGGAGUCAUACAAGUGAUGGAUUUUAUUGUUAACCCUUUUUCUUGAAUACACUUAAUUCUAAGCUGGUUUGUUGCCCAAUUCUACAAUAAUAAUUACAUUGAGCCAAACACAAUUUCAUUUAUCAUCUGAUGAUAGUCAAAUAGAUGCAAUGAGUUAUAAUAAUGAAACAGAUUUAUUGGUGAAUGAAAAAAAUCGGGAGGCUGUUUGCUGCCCAAGAGUAAGUCUUAUUCACAAAACACAAUUUUGUCAUCAUCAGAUAGCCAAACAGACGUCAAUGAGUUAUAGGCAUAAUAAUGAAUGAAGAUUGACUGGUAAUACAUGAAACACAGGUAGACUAAUAACUGACAGAAACAUUUCAUAUUUUCAUAUUUAGGCUACAAGUGAGGUGUUUGUUUUGUUAACAUUCAAAUUAUAUAUUUUUUUAUUUUUUAGCUUUAUUUAAACAGGGGAAACAAGCUGAGACAGUCUCUUUUACAGUUGUGCCCUGUGAUUACAACAAUAAAAAUAACAAAGCAAUUAAUAAGAAUUUAAAACCAAACAAAGUUAAAACAUAUAAAAUGUACAAGAUGGAGAUUAAAAGUAAAUCAACUUUAUAAGAAAAACACACAUUACAAAAAGCAAUCACAUUUUAUAAUAAAAAGUUCAUGUAAUGUGCAUUUAAACUGUCUUAUAGGCACCAAAACAUCUAUGGCACAGUAUGAUUCUAUGCCAACAAUAGACUGGCUUUUUGCUCUCCCAGUCUUGUUUCACAUGGUUGGGAACUGACCAAUAAAAACGUGCUAAGAAAUGAAAAACAACACAUAACUCCGAUAUAAAGUAUUUUUUCUCAAAGUUGUUGAUGUUUGGGGUUUUCCUGACAAAUUGGGCUACUUUGAAAAUUAUGUGGUGGGUGAAAAUGUAUUGGGCUAUUUCUAAAUUGCACUGACGCCGCCAUGGUAUUUCGGCCUCCAUGGGGGGGAGGUGUGUGUGUGUGUGUGUGUGAGAGAGUGUUGAGAGAGGACUACUAUGGGGGGUGAUAAGAGACAUAUAUAAGCCUAGGCAACCGUACCACCUGACAUGACAUGAUACUAACGUCUGUGUGACUCCUGCGUUAUGUGUCUGACUUACAUGACCUGUACCACCGCCUUAUUAACGUCUGUGUGACGCCUGCAUCACAUGUUAAUCGACAUCCAUUGAUUGAAAAGGAUCUGGCGAGUCUUUUCUCUUGCCACAUAUUUACAUUCCUUUAUUACAUCAUGUCGUAGCUCGCAAUAAUUCUUAUUUUGAGGAAAACCUCAUUUUGCGUCUAACGUCAUUACAAGUUACUACAAUAUUCCUUCUUAAUUGGCUCGAUAACCUUAUGGAAAAGGGGUUUAUUGUAUAAAUAUGGCAACUCCUCUCUUGCUGUGAGAAAAACAAUUGGGCUAGUUUUCAGGCCUUUUGGGCAGGUUUGAGUGGUCAUUGGGCUAGGUAUUUUAGCUAGACCUGGCAACCCUGAUGCCAGAUCUGACUGCCUACUAAAUCUGACUUACGGUUGGGCAGAUCUGUUUCUAUGACUUGAUUGGAGUCCACCAGUGGAUGUCAGAGCAAAAACCAAGCAAUGAGGCCAAAUGGAUUGUCCAUAGAGCUCCAAAACAGGAUUGUGUCGAGGCACAGAUCUGGGGAAGGGUACCAAAACAUUUCUGUAGCAUUGAAGGUCCCCAAGAACACAGUGGCCUCCAUCAUUAUUAAAUGGAAACUCAGCAAUCGGGGGAGAAGGGCCUUGGUCCAGGAGGUGACCAAGAAUCUAAUGGUCACUCUGACAGAGCUCCAGAGUUUAUCUGUGGAGAUGCUUGUCCUUCUGGAUGUUUCUCCUAUCUCUGCAGCACUCCACCAAUCAGGCCUUUAUGGUAGAGUGGCCAGACAGAAGCCACUCCUCAGUAAAAGGCACAUACAGCCCGCUUGGAGUUUACCAAAAGGCACCUAAAGACUCUCAGACUAUGAGAAACAAGAUUCUCUGGUCUGAUUAAACCAAGAUUCAACUCUUUGGCCUGAACGCCAAACGUCACGUCUGGAGGAAAGCUGGCACCAUCCCUACGGGGAAGCAUGGUGGUGGCAGCAUCGUGCUGUGGAAAUGUUUUUCAGCAGCAGGAACUGGGAGACUAGACCAGAUCGAGUGAAAGAUGAACAGAGCAAAGUACAGAGAUCCUUCAUGAAAACCUGCUCCAGAGCACUCAAACUGGGGUGAGGUUCACCUUCCAACAGGAAAACGACCAUAAGCACACAGCCAAGACAAUGCGGGAGUGGCUUCGGGACAAGUCUCUGAAUGUCCUUGAGUGGCCCAGCAAGAGCCCAGACUUGAACCCUAUCGAACAUCUCUGGAGAGACCUGAAAAUAGCUGUGUAGCAACGCUCCCCAUCCAACCUGACAGAGCUUGAGAGGAUCUGCAGAGAAGAAUGGGAGAAACUCCCCAAAUAGAAGUGUGCCAAGCUUGUAGCAUCAUACCCAAGGAGACUCAAGGCUGUAAUCGCUGCCAAAGUGCAUGAGGCCUUUGAAGAGAACCGUAGGCAUGACAUGAAGUUGGACUAAAGUCUCAUGAAUCUACCAGGUUUCUAUCCUUGCCAAUCACCAAACCUGCUCCCACAGUUGAUGAUAUCACCAUCCUCCAUCAGUUUGGAAAAUACUGCUUACAUAAAAAAAUGUGCCAAUGCAAUAAAAAAAAAGGGUCAACAUCUGUAUCCUGAAACUGUUUCCCAGUAAAAGCUAUUUACUGUGUGUGCUGACCGAGGGGCUUUUAAAAUGUUUCUGUAAUGUACCUUAUAAUAUAGGAGACCCCCUUCGCUGGUGUAGAUAGACGUCACAAGGAUGGGCUCCUACAUGUAGUAGUGGAUUUAGGUAUAGGCGACAUGGGCA